UAUAUACUCCCUCCGUUCCAAAAUUCUUGUCUUACAUUUGUCUAGAUACGGAUGUACCUAAUACUAAAACGUGACUUGAUACAUCCGUAUUUGGAUAAAUUUAAGACAAGAAUUUUGAGACGGAGCGAGUACAUU
rfam:Triticum aestivum genome assembly, contig: Triticum_aestivum_CS42_TGACv1_scaffold_424024_5BS